rnacentral:rRNA from 1 species
AUGACCCAACCAUCCACCGUUAUCAUCACCAUCAUCAUCAUUGAGUAUCCCACCAAGAACCGCCAGUAUCAAACCCUACUGCCCAUCGGCCGCCACAUGCAUCCAGCCGCGUCGUCUUUUGGCGAGUACUUCCAGUUCUUCCCCGCCGAGAUGUACCACCACCAGCAGCUGCUGCUGCAAGAGGAGGGGACCCUGGAAGCGGUGCUCUGGCAGCCGGUGACCGCUCCAGCUCCGGCGGAGCGGGGGGAGCCGGGGAAUAAUGGGGCGCCGGGGCCAGGGGGUGCAGUCGUUGGGGCGGCGCGGAAGAGGCCGUUCCGGACGGACCGGCACAGCAAGAUCCGCACGGCGCAGGGGGUGCGCGACCGUCGGAUGCGGCUGUCCGUCGGCGUGGCGCGCGAGUUCUUCGCGCUGCAGGACCUCCUCGGCUUCGACAAGGCCAGCAAGACGGUGGAGUGGCUCCUCACGCAGUCCAAGCCGGCCAUCGACCGGCUUGCCGACGCCACCCAGGGGGGCGCUGCUGCCGCCGCUGCAGGACCGUCGAAGGAGAAAGGGGAGGGGGCGACCUCCUCCGGCACCGGCUUCUUCGAGGAUGCGAGGGAGGAAGAGCAGGACGUCAGAGAUCUGAUGAAAGGCAUCGGCGGCGAAGGUGAGCUUGACUGGUUCAUGUCGGAGCCGGCGGCGAUAGGACAGCCGAUGGAAGGAUUGGACUAA